UACGGAGGGUGCAAGCGUUAUCCGGAUUCACUGGGUUUAAAGGGUGCGUAGGCGGGCAGGUAAGUCCGUGGUGAAAUCUCUGAGCUUAACUCAGAAACUGCCAUGGAUACUAUUUGUCUUGAAUAUUGUGGAGGUAGGCGGAAUAUGUCAUGUAGCGGUGAAAUGCUUAGAUAUGACAUAGAACACCAAUUGCGAAGGCAGCUUACUACACAGUUAUUGACGCUGAGGCACGAAAGCGUGGGGAUCAAACAGG
rnacentral:rRNA from 1 species